AUGCUGGCUGAUAGUGUUACCUAAUACCUAGGUACAUGGAAACAAAUUGGAGAUACCUUGCCUUCUUAUAGCUUCCUAAAAUCUGGUUGCGUGGGUGGUCAUGUGUUGUGGGUCCUAGCUUCAAGUAUGGUUCAUGAUAAGAUCAGGCAUUCUUGUGCGCCAUGGCAAGGCGCACAUUCUUAUUUAUGAUGGUAGGAACUCUUGCUUCCAUUCACACCAAACUUCCACUUAGGUGCUUCAUCUUCAUUAUAGUAAAUGUGAGGUUCAAAAUGAAGAAUCGUAAAAUUGCCCAAUGGCUGUGCAGAUGCAGUUCAAAUAUAUGCAGUUCAAAAUGAAGAAUCGUAAAAUUGCCCAAUGUUGGGUGUGGCAGAGUUUCUUCAGAAACCUCUAGUUGAAGACAAACUGAGAAACCUAUGGUAGCACGUGGUUCAUAAGGCCUUCAAUGCAGGAGGAGCUGUUCCUAAAUCAUUGAAACCUGUCAAAGAAAUCGUGGUAUCCAUUCUUCAACUUAAAUCAGAAACAGCUGGGGCCAAAAAUCAAAACCAGCAAGAAGCAGAGAAUUCAGCACUUGCCCAUGGCUAUAAUUUCAUAAACCCAAAUGAGAAUCAUUCAUUUGGUUGGAUCAUCUGAUGGGGGAGUUAUAAGUGCACUGCUCAUCCCUUGAUGGUCCCACAAAGAUCAUCAUCUUAGGUUACUAGAAGUUGGGCCUUUAAACAUUCUAUGUUGUUGCAUGCAGGCAGCUCUUCCACAAGGGAUCGUCCCCUUUGUAUUUACGAGGGAAUACAAUGUCCAUGUAGACAUACCCAGCACGGAAUGUGGAUUUUUGACACAACUGAUGGGGAUCCUUGUCUUUUACGCUUCUGAAGUGGCCAUAGUGCUCCUCUAUGUGUAAGGUUUGGAUGAUAAGAAUCCUCUCUAGUUGUUAUACUUGCAUUCCUUUUGGUUAAAUAUAACAUUAUUUUGAUUCUCAAGAAGUGUUUCCGAUUAUUUUAUUUCUUUGCAUGUUGAGAAAAGGGUUUUGAAGGACUAAAAUGUAUUUCAACCAAAUGACCACUAAGACCAUCUGAUUGGUGUUUAAAAAAUAAAAAUUAAAAAUGGGCCACCAAUGGUAGGGCCUGCUAAUGGUCGUUUCCAUCUCCAAUCCUUAUACACAUUACAUGCAUCCUCCAGCAACAUGGAUGACUCCAAUGUCCUUCUCGUAUCAGGUUGGCAUGUGUGGCCGAGUGCAGAUGUAUGUCUGA